UUCCGGUUGAUCCCGCCGGACCUGACUGCUAUCGGAUUGAUACUAAGCCAUGCGAGUUUUUGCAGUAAUGCAAAGCAUACGGCUCAGUAACACGUAGUCAACUUACCCUAUGGACGAGGAUAAUCUCGGGAAACUGAGCAUAAUACUCGAUAGAUCAUAAUGCCUGGAAUGGUUUAUGGUUGAAAUGAUUCGUCGCCGUAGGAUGGGACUGCGGCCUAUCAGCUUGUUGGUGAGGUAAUGGCCCACCAAGGCGAUUACAGGUACGGGCUCUGAGAGGAGAAGCCCGGAGAUGGGUACUGAGACAAGGACCCAGGCCCUAUGGGGCGCAGCAGGCGAGAAAACUUUGCAAUGUGCGAAAGCACGACAAGGUUAAUCCGAGUGAUUUGUGCUAAACGAAUCUUUUGUUAGUCCUAGAAACACUAACGAAUAAGGGGUGGGCAAGUUCUGGUGUCAGCCGCCGCGGUAAAACCAGCACCUCAAGUGGUCAGGAUGAUUAUUGGGCCUAAAGCAUCCGUAGCCGGCUCUGUAAGUUUUCGGUUAAAUCUGUACGCUCAACGUACAGGCUGCCGGGAAUACUGCAGAGCUAGGGAGUGGGAGAGGUAGACGGUACUCGGUAGGAAGGGGUAAAAUCCUUUGAUCUAUUGAUGACCACCUGUGGCGAAGGCGGUCUACCAGAACACGUCCGACGGUGAGGGAUGAAAGCUGGGGGAGCAAACCGGAUUAGAUACCCGGGUAGUCCCAGCUGUAAACUAUGCAAACUCAGUGAUGCAUUGACUUGUGGUCAAUGCAGUGCUGCAGGGAAGCCGUUAAGUUUGCCGCCUGGGAAGUACGUACGCAAGUAUGAAACUUAAAGGAAUUGGCGGGGGAGCACCACAAGGGGUGAAGCCUGCGGUUCAAUUGGAGUCAACGCCGGAAA
rnacentral:rRNA from 1 species